GUUCUACACCGGUGUAAACCACAAAAUCGGUGAAGUUCAUGACGGCGCAGCUACCAUGGACUGGAUGGAGCAGGAGCAGGAGCGUGGUAUUACUAUCACCUCCGCAGCGACUACUGCAUUCUGGUCUGGUAUGGCUAAGCAGUAUGAACCGCAUCGCAUCAACAUCAUCGACACCCCGGGGCACGUUGACUUCACUAUCGAAGUAGAACGUUCCAUGCGUGUUCUCGAUGGUGCGGUAAUGGUUUACUGCGCAGUUGGUGGUGUUCAGCCGCAGUCUGAAACCGUAUGGCGUCAGGCAAACAAAUACAAAGUCCCGCGCAUUGCGUUCGUUAACAAAAUGGACCGCAUGGGCGCGAACUUCCUGAAAGUUGUUGGUCAGAUCAAAACCCGUCUGGGCGCGAACCCGGUUCCGCUGCAGCUGGCAAUUGGUGCUGAAGAAGGUUUCACC
rnacentral:misc_RNA from 1 species